AGCUUUGCGCAGUGGCAGUAUCGUAGUCAAUGAGGUUUAUCCGAGGCACGAUUAUUGCUAAGAAAAAUAAAAAAAUAAAAAGAAAAUAGAAUGGUGGUUACUAGGAUCCAUGAGGAAGGGAAAAUGUGAAAUUAUUGCUUAAUG